rnacentral:misc_RNA from 1 species
UCCGGUUUGGCACCGGCAGUCCUCCCAGAGUCCUCGGCAUGACCCGGUAGCAACUGGGAGCGGGGGUUGCGCUCGUUGCGGGACUUAACCCAACAUCUCACGACACGAGCUGACGACAGCCAUGCACCACCUGUGCACCUGCCCCGAAGGGCUGCCGUAUUUCUACGACAUUCAGGUGCAUGUCAAGCCCUGGUAAGGUUCUUCGCGUUGCGUCGAAUUAAACCACAUGCUCCACCGCUUGUGCGGGCCCCCGUCAAUUCCUUUGAGUUUCAGCCUUGCGGCCGUACUCCCCAGGCGGGGCACUUAUCGCGUUAGCUGCGGCACCGAAGGGGUCGCUCCCCCCGGCACCUAGUGUUCAUCGUUUACGGCGUGGACUAC